rnacentral:rRNA from 1 species
UACGUAGGGUGCAAGCGUUGUCCGGAAUUAUUGGGCGUAAAGAGCACGCAGGCGGUUUGGCAAGUCGGAUGUGAAAACCCGAAGCUCAACUUCGGGCCUGCAUCCGAAACUGCCCGACUAGAGGUAGGUAGGGGAGAUCGGAAUUCCUAGUGUAGCGGUGAAAUGCGCAGAUAUCAGGAGGAACACCGGUGGCGAAGGCGGAUCUCUGGGCCUUACCUGACGCUCAGGUGCGAAAGCUAGGGGAGCGAACAGG